rnacentral:rRNA from 1 species
UACGAAGGGGGCUAGCGUUGCUCGGAAUCACUGGGCGUAAAGCGCACGUAGGCGGCUUGUUAAGUCAGGGGUGAAAUCCUGGAGCUCAACUCCAGAACUGCCUUUGAUACUGGCAAUCUCGAGUUCGGGAGAGGUGAGUGGAACUGCGAGUGUAGAGGUGAAAUUCGUAGAUAUUCGCAAGAACACCAGUGGCGAAGGCGGCUCACUGGCCCGAUACUGACGCUGAGGUGCGAAAGCGUGGGGAGCAAACAGG